rfam:Komagataeibacter medellinensis NBRC 3288 DNA, complete genome.
GCGGGGCUGCCCGGUGCGUCAGGCAUGAUUCAACCCCUGGGCCGAUAAGCACUUCCUUAGGGAGCUGGCACUGUCGUGAUCGUGGUCACGUUACCUGGCACCCACCUGCGUCAGCAGGUCCGGGAGGGCUGAUCCGACCAACGGCCAUGGCGGCUCCGUA